rnacentral:snRNA from 1 species
AGCUUUGCAUGGUGGCAGCAUGGUAGCCAAAGAAGUUUAUCCAAGGCAGGAUUUACUGCUAAUUGAAAACUUUUCCCAAGUCUGAGCAAUAGACAGAUCUUUUCUUUUUUAUUAACCCCCAAAUUAGG